rnacentral:rRNA from 1 species
UACGAAGGGGGCUAGCGUUGCUCGGAAUUACUGGGCGUAAAGCGCACGUAGGCGGCUUUCUAAGUCGGUGGUGAAAUCCUGGAGCUCAACUCCAGAACUGCCUUCGAAACUGGAGAGCUUGAGUCCGGGAGAGGUGAGUGGAACUGCGAGUGUAGAGGUGAAAUUCGUAGAUAUUCGCAAGAACACCAGUGGCGAAGGCGGCUCACUGGCCCGGUACUGACGCUGAGGUGCGAAAGCGUGGGGAGCAAACAGG